UUUACACAGAGCUCAAUGGACAGAACAUGGGACUCUUAAUCUCAGGGUCACGGAUUCGAAUCUCCCGUUGGGCAAAA